ACCUCCUGGCCACACAAUUGUAAUCCUUCAAGAAGAGGGUUUUUUUUUGUUUUGUUUUUUAAAACCUCCAGUGCCUGAUUCUUCAUCAUGCAACUUCUGCUGGGGCUCUUCUUCUUCUCCAUACUCCUGACCACAGGUAGCUCCUUGACAUGUGAACAUUGUGCCUCAUCUAGUUCAGACGCAUGCUCUGGCGAAAAGAAAGAUUGCCCUUAUGAGAACGCGACCUGCAUGACUUUGACCACUGAAAUGACAAUACUGGUGAAAAUCGUAACCGUCAUGAAAAGUUGCAGUCAGAAAGAUGUGUGCAACCGACUGAAAGAACAGAAAGGGGACAUUUUAAACAGCUCGUUACCAACUUUGUCAGAUAUUAUUCCUAGUUUUCAAAUUGGGGCUGUUAUUAAAGAAGUUACCUGCAGCAGAGCCCCUCCCUCCUUUGUACCCUUCUUCCCAGCAUUCCUUCGGCUUCUCCUGAUGAAGCUUCUCGUCUAAAGCUUUUCCUUCCACCCAAGAAAUUGUCCCCUUUUUCUUGGCCUGUAUAAUCUCUCCAGCUGAUCAGGCGGCCUCUUGGAUGUUAUGCAUCGGCCUCUAUAUGUCCCUAAAUAGUUAAGAAGACAGAAAUUUAAUCAGCAGCCUUGUAUGUUCGAGGAAAACGGCAGCCUAAAGUGAAAAUGAAUAAAUAAAUAAUUGAAUUCCA